GCAGAAAGAACCUGCUCACGAUGAGCCCGACACUGACUCUUGCGCCCUCCGAGUGUCACUGGCAAGGGGCGUGUUCCAUUUCCCCGCUGUCCUGCCUGGCAUCUUCAGAUCCUUGACUCCUAACCCUCCAUUAUACAGAUAAGAAAAAGUGAGGCCAGAGAAGCAGAAAUGUGCCUGGGUCCCAGAAUAAGCCUGAGGCCGAGCCAGGCCUAGAACUCAGAACUCAGGAGGCCGGACGUGGUGGCUCACGCCUGUAAUCCCAACACUCUGGGAGGCCGAGGCCGGCGGAUCACCUGAGGUCGGGAGUUCGAGACCAGCCUGACCAACAUGGAGAAACCCCAUCUCUACUAAAGAUACAAAAUUAGCCCGGCAUGGUAGCAGGUGCCUGUAAUCCCAGCAACUCAGGUGGCUGAGGCAGGAGAAUCACCUGACCCUGGGAGGCGGAGGUUGCAGUGAGCCCAGAUCGCACCACUGCACUUCAGCCUGUGCAACA
rnacentral:lncRNA from 1 species